UACAGAGGGGGCAAGCGUUGUUCGGAAUUACUGGGCGUAAAGGGCGCGUAGGCGGCCUGUUAAGUCGAACGUGAAAUCCCCGGGCUCAACCCGGGAACUGCGUCCGAUACUGGCAGGCUUGAAUCCGGGAGAGGGAUGCGGAAUUCCAGGUGUAGCGGUGAAAUGCGUAGAUAUCUGGAGGAACACCGGUGGCGAAGGCGGGUCUCUGGGUAGUAACUGACGCUGAGGAACGAAAGCGUGGGUAGCGAACAGG
rnacentral:rRNA from 1 species